CAGCCGCCGCGGUAAUACGAAGGGGGCUAGCGUUGCUCGGAAUGACUGGGCGUAAAGGGCGCGUAGGCGGCAUACACAGUCAGAUGUGAAAUUCCUGGGCUUAACCUGGGGGCUGCAUUUGAUACUGGAUCACUAGAGUGUGGUAGAGGAUAGUGGAAUUUCCGGUGUAGCAGUGAAAUGCGUAGAGAUCGGAAGGAACAUCUGUGGCGAAGGCGACUAUCUGGGCCAACACUGACACUGAGGCACGAAAGCGUGGGGAGCAAACAGGAUUAGAUACCCCGGUAGUCCCUGUCUCUUAUAC
rnacentral:rRNA from 1 species